UAGAUCUGGUUCUGCCCGACCGGGCGGGUGUUUUUUUUCUGUUUACUUAAUGUAAUUAAAUUUUUUUACACCAUUAUAUAAUAUAUCAAAAUUUUAAUACAAAUAAUGACAAAAAUACAUCACAUAAUACAAAUAUUGCUGUAACAUAAUUUGAUCACACGGUGGCAACAAAAUUGAUCAUACUGUGAUAAGGUAAUUUAAUUUGGACCACAUUUCUAUUGAAAACCAUUAAAAUAUGAUGAAAUAAAGAAUUAUGAGUUAGUAUGAUAUAUGAAAUAGAUAAAUAAGGUAUAACUUUUACGGAAAUUAAUUUUUUCAAAGGCUAUGAAUAAAAUCAUCAUCCUCUAACAAAAUCAUUAUCCUCUUGAUUGAUAUCACGAUGUAUGUUUGUUGUUGUUUCUUCGUUUCCAUUAGAUAAAGAAUGUGAAAUAUUGGUAAUAUCAUCCAAGACAGAACGUGGGGGCUUUCUUCUUGUUCAAAAAAGGAUGAUUUUGUUUUUCAUAAUCAUAUAUUUUUAACUUUUGAAAAUUUGAUAAAUUUAAUUGUUUGUACUUAUUAUGUUAUAAAUUCAUAUGUUUUUCAGGUUUGAUUUCGGUGUGUCUUGUUCAAUAUGAUUAGCCAUCAUUUUUAAACUAUGAGAUUGUGUUUUUCUUUUAUUGUAUUUUUAUUUAGUUUAUUUGGUAAAUUAAAUAGUAAAGUAUCGGAGGUUUAAGUAUAUUUGGGGUUUUAUUAAAUUAAAUUAUAAAUAUUUUAUUUUAAAGUUGAAUAUAAAGUUCAAAUAUUUUAUUGAAAGUUUUGAAAACAAAUACAUUAUUUAGACAAACCAAAAAUAAUAAUGAAACUAAGUUACAAAAAAACAUUCAAAAAUAGGAAGAGAUGAUUUUGUUCAAAGUCUACUUUAUAAAAUUCAAAAAAAAUACAAAUAUUAUAGAACUAACAGUUUCAUCAGCUAAAACCAUUUGUAAUGUUUCAUCAGCGUAAGUGGUAAAAGAAUGUGUAGAAUGGGUUUGUACUCGGGUAGAAUAUAUAGUAGAGGGACAAUACCCUAGUUGAGAAUAAAUAUCUUUGCUUAUUUUGCAAGACAUAUUAGGCGAAAUAAAUGAAAAGAAUAUUUUGUUGAUUCUGUUUAUUGUUUUUGAAAUUAUGGUAAAAUCUUAAUGGUUAUGAUUUGAAAUAGGAAAUGAUAAGAUCUUGUGCUUGUUCCGCAAGUGUGUGGGUCAAUUUUUUUUAACGCAAUACAAAACCCUAAAGUUGAGGAAAUAUCUUAACCACCCUCGCAAGGCAUCUCUUGUUUGCAUUAAUAUGUAGAAUACUUUGUUUAUUGUGUGUUAUUGUGAAACUAACAAAAUAGGAGAGAGUAAGAUUAUUUUAGUGAAAUUCGAAUAUUGUGUUUAUUGUUUAGUAGUUAUGGAUCAAAUUUUAUAUAUAUCUUCUUUGUUCCGAAAUUGAAGGGGAAAUCUUGUUUAGAAACAAAUUAGUAGAUUCCGCAAAUGUUUCUAUUUUUUUUUCCGAAAUCUAAGUAGAAGAUUGUUGGGGGAGGGAAAAAGAUUUUCAAUUCAAAAAUAUUAGAUUUUAAUUAAUAAUAAUGAUUAUUAAUUAUUUGGACAUAUAGAAGUCAGUGGAAUAUUUCAUUAUAAUAAGGUGGUUAAAAAUAAGCUACAUACACCACCGUGAAAUAAAGUGAAUUGAAAUUGUUCAAACUCAUAUGAAAAUCAUUGUUAGUUUUUCUUAGUUUAAUUUCUUAUAAAGCUUAUAUAAUUUGAUGUUCGUGCAGGUUACGUAAGCUAAGGAUGGGACUCAUAUGAUGACAAAAAAAAAGGAUGGGACUCAUAUAAUAAGGAAUGUUACAGUGUUGAUAUUGCAGGGGAAUUAUUUAUGCUUGUUCCUUUAUUUAAUAAUAUGUAAUUGUUUGAGUUAUUAAUAAUAUGUUUCUUUCUUUUGUAGUUUGUUUGAGUUAUUUUAGGAAAACAAUUAAUAUGUGGAAAAGACAAUCAUUUUUAGUGUAAGAUUAAUUUAAUUCUCAAUGGCAUUUGACUGUAAAUAUUGUGUAACUUUUAGGGUUAUUAUGGGUACUUCUCUUUUAAUAAUAGAGAUUGAGUUGUUGCAUGGGAAUUUUGUGGGCAAUGUGAUUUGCUUGGCCCAUGACAUAUUUUGGUGUCUUAUCAUAGAUGCCCAUUAGGUUACAAACCUCUCACAUCAAAAGUUGUUUCUGGGAUUUGAGUGAGACCUCUGGUUCUGUGAAACGAUAGACAAAUGUUCAUGUUCCACUUGCGAUUCAGUAACGAAUGAUAAUAAUGAUAUCAAUCAAAUUAACCCAACACUUAUAUUCAAUUCCUCUUCUCUGCCUUCUUCAUCACCACCAUUCAAUGUUUUUCUCACUGUAUUGAAAGCAGAUCGGAGCAGGCAUACUGUGGUGACAAGGCUCAUGCAUUUUUGGGAGGCAUAGAAUGUGAAGAAAGGUGGGGCACUUAUGGGUGUCAGUAUGGUAUUAGUUGAUGAGAAGGUACUUGCUAUUUCAAUUGAAGCUUGAAGCUUUAUUCUGAUCACAUUUAGAGCUUGCAUAGUCUGAACACCUUCUGAGAAGGCUCGAACUCCUCAAAGAAUGGGCGCUUUAUGAGUGCAGUCAUAAUCGUGAAAGGAAGUAUCAUCUGCAAACCACAGCGUACAAGCUCAACGCUCUAUCUCAAGAAUGGAGACAGCUCUGUGUGAAGAAUAUGAAGAUCCAGUCUGCGUGUACUGUGCUUGAGACACAAAUCGAUUUGUUGAAAAGGGAAGCUGCUGAAAGGGGAUGGAACAUAGAAAGAAAAACUAGAGAGUGCCUAACCACUUCAAUUGCUGUGAGGCAACCCCCGAGCAAUCCAUCCACCAUGUCUCCGCUAAAAUUUUGAAUGUUUUGAUGUUCAAAUAUUUUUUAUAGUACAAGAGAAUGAUUUUAUCAGAAACAUACUACAUUAUUAGGUGAAUGCGUGUCUCUCUUUAUGUAAUACUCCCUCUGUUUCUUAAUGUUACAUAUUCUAGUUUUUUCACACAUUUUAAUAAAACGCAUUAAA